CUUGGAAAAUGUGAAAUCAGAAAGUUCCCAAAUUGAAACACACUGUGAUAGCAAACGGAAACGGCUGAUGCAAUGUUACUUGCAUAAUUCGACUCUUCUCAAAGAUUAAACUAUUCAUCCUUCCCAUACUAUGUGAAACAUACAAUCUCAUACUAUGUGAAACAUACAAUCUUUGGCAACAUGAUUGAAAUAAAUGAACAUAAUAACCCAGCUGGUAGGGCUAGGAGGAUUUGGAAUCGAACUGUUACA
rnacentral:lncRNA from 1 species